rnacentral:RNase_P_RNA from 1 species
CAAGUCAGCUGGAUAAUCGCUGGCACCGUCAGGUGCUGGAGGAAAGUCCGGGCUCCACAGGGCAGGGUGCCAGGUAACGCCUGGGAGGCGCGAGCCUACGGAAAGUGCCACAGAAAAUAUACCGCCGGACAGCUUGCUGGACGGUAAGGGUGAAAUGGUGCGGUAAGAGCGCACCGCGCGACUGGCAACAGUCGUGGCAGGGAAAACCCCACCCGGAGCAAGACCAAAUAGGAGAGCUAUGGUGCUGCCCGCACUGCUUUCGGGUUGGUUGCAUGAGGGUCCUGGUGACAGGGCUCCCAGAUGAAUGAUUAUCCUCGACAGAACCCGGCUUACAGGCUGACUUAUCUA